CAGUAGCCGCGGGAAUACGUAGGUGGCAAGCGUUGUCCGGAAUUAUUGGGCGUAAAGGGCUCGCAGGCGGUUUCUUAAGUCUGAUGUGAAAGCCCCCGGCUCAACCGGGGAGGGUCAUUGGAAACUGGGAAACUUGGGUGCAGAAGAGGAGAGUGGGAUUCCACGUGUAGCGGUGAAAUGCGUAGAGAUGUGGAGGAACACCAGUGGCGAAGGCGACUCUCUGGUCUGUAACUGACGCUGAGGAGCGAAAGCGUGGGGAGCGAACAGGAUUAGAUACCCCGGUAGUCCCUGUCUCUUAUAA
rnacentral:rRNA from 1 species